CAGUAGCCACGGUAAAACGUAGGUCCCGAGCGUUAUCCGGAUUUAUUGGGCGUAAAGCGAGCGCAGGCGGUUAGAUAAGUCUGAAGUUAAAGGCUGUGGCUUAACCAUAGUACGCUUUGGAAACUGUUUAACUUGAGUGCAGAAGGGGAGAGUGGAAUUCCAUGUGUAGCGGUGAAAUGCGUAGAUAUAUGGAGGAACACCGGUGGCGAAAGCGGCUCUCUGGUCUGUAACUGACGCUGAGGCUCGAAAGCGUGGGGAGCAAACAGGAUUAGAUACCCCAGUAGUCCCUGUCUCUUAUACA
rnacentral:rRNA from 1 species